UAUCAAUUCGUCUUUAGAAGCGUACGGUACAUCUGGUGAAAAGUGCGAUCCCAAAGUAGUAAAGACCAGCCGCCCAUAGACCAAGUGAACCAAGACUGUAGCUGAGGACUUUGCACAAUGUGGUUGGGGGUGUUCACUGCCCUUGCUAGCUUGCCUGCCUACGCAAGGUUGAUGGGGUGUUCCAUGUACAUACAUACAUACAUAUGUAGUGUGAGUAACGGUUAGUUUUAUUGUUAGACAAAAUAAGUCGCGUGUGUACGUACAUACAUAAGUACAUUUGAUGGACACUGGGUGUAAGUGGGUUGGUAUGCUUGCUGUUAAGGAGAACUUUUAUACGUGGACGUCGCACGUAUGUACAUAUAUCUGUACAUAGAUACGGUCAGUCGGUCGAGUGAUUGUACAAAACAAAGUUCGUUCGUUCGUUCGUUCGGUCAGCUUGUCAAUUCAACAGUGUUUACUUGUGCAUAUUUAUGUGAGUUUAGUUGUGUGUGUCAUACAUGUCGGCUGCUGCUAACGGUAAUGUGCAUUGAAGAUUUUGUGAGAAUUUCCGCACGCACACCAACCAACUUGUAAGUUAAAAUAUUGUAGGCGGAAGCCAACGCAUUUUGGGCCGAAAUAGCCGAAAUCUCAUCGUUAAAAUACCGGAGCAUAGACUUUGUGAAAAAAAAAAUGCCUAUUGCAAAAACAGUGAAAUAAAUUGAUAUACAGUGUGCAUACGACAACAACAAUAACAACAAAAAAUGUAAUAGAAAUUUCAAAACCAAUAUAAAAGCUAGCGUACAUGGCGCAGUGGUUGGGAGUGUGAGUGUAGGUACAUGUGUGUGUGUGUGUGUGUGUCCAUGUGCAUGCAUGCAUGUGUGGUGGGGCCGAUUUCGAAAUCAAUUUUCAAUGAAAUUCGCUUUGCAGCAACAACAAUGUUGCCGACCAAGUGCAGCCAUUGAAAAUUGAUGAUGAAAACACGAAUAAGCGCAAUAAAGACUGCAAAAAUAAAAAAAAAUAAUAAAUAAAUAAAUAAAAAUACAACGAAAUAACGGACAUCGAAAAUAAAUACAGCGGCGAGUAGAGAAAUCGAAUACCAACGACCCAGCAAGUGGCCCCGGCCCUCCCUCUCCCUACCUCCCGCUCAGCCAGCUGCUGCCUACGCCGCCUGGGCCCCUUCCUGUGCGCGCAGCUUGCAAGAUUUGGCUGCGCUCAGCGAAAUUGUGGUAGGUGAGAAAUUGAAUAAAGGAAAGGGAAAGUCAGUCAGGGAGCUUGUGUGGCGAACGCGGACAUAAGCUGGCUAGUGGCUGGCGACCGUCGCUUAUUGGGUGCGUCAGCGGUUUGGCGCGGUGGAAAACUACAAUGGAAAUGUACAUGAAAUUCACUUACACAUGUGAAUAUACACAUACCUGUGUUUGUGUAGUUGUUUUUGUGGAUUUAUUUGUGCGCAUGCAAUUUGGACAUACAAAUAACGCUCGCUGGCUGACGGACGACACUAGCGGCGGUCCUCGCGAAUGUAAAUCGCACGCGAAGACGUCGUCGUCGUCGACGAAAGCAUUUUAGCGACGCUACUAAUAACAACAACCACAAUAAAAUUAACCAAUAAACGAAGGCAAAAAUGUGGAGAAAAGAGGAAAAAAAUGAACAAUCGCCCAGGUUUGGCAAAGAGCGCCUCCAACCAUCGACAUUGCCUGCGCAAUCGACAUCACACCGACGUCGUCAGCGCCAAUACCAAUAUCAUCCAACCAACGUCGAAAACGAUUUUUAACCGACAUUGUGCAAA